rnacentral:rRNA from 1 species
UGGGGAAUAUUGCGCAAUGGGGGAAACCCUGACGCAGCAACGCCGCGUGAAUGAUGAAGGCCUUCGGGUUGUAAAGUUCUGUCUUCUGGGACGAUAAUGACGGUACCAGAGGAGGAAGCCACGGCUAACUACGUGCCAGCAGCCGCGGUAAUACGUAGGUGGCAAGCGUUGUCCGGAUUUACUGGGCGUAAAGGAUGCGUAGGCGGACAUUUAAGUCAGAUGUGAAAUACCCGAGCUUAACUUGGGUGCUGCAUUUGAAACUGGGUGUCUAGAGUGCAGGAGAGGUAAGUGGAAUUCCUAGUGUAGCGGUGAAAUGCGUAGAGAUUAGGAAGAACACCAGUGGCGAAGGCGACUUACUGGACUGUAACUGACGCUGAGGCAUGAAAGCGUGGGGAGCAAACAG